UACGAAGGGGGCUAGCGUUGUUCGGAAUUACUGGGCGUAAAGCGCACGUAGGCGGACUAUUAAGUCAGGGGUGAAAUCCCGGGGCUCAACCCCGGAACUGCCUUUGAUACUGGUGGUCUAGAGUCCGGAAGAGGUGAGUGGAAUUCCGAGUGUAGAGGUGAAAUUCGUAGAUAUUCGGAGGAACACCAGUGGCGAAGGCGGCUCACUGGUCCGGUACUGACGCUGAUGCACGAAAGCUAGGGGAGCAAACAGG
rnacentral:rRNA from 1 species